AUUGAACGCUGGCGGCAUGCCUUACACAUGCAAGUCGAACGGUAACAGGUCUUCGGAUGCUGACGAGUGGCGAACGGGUGAGUAAUGCAUCGGAACGUGCCCAGUAGUGGGGAUAGCCCGGCGAAAGCCGGAUUAAUACCGCAUACGACCUGAGGGUGAAAGGGGGGGAUCGCAAGACCUCUCGCAAUUGGAGCGGCCGAUGUCAGAUUAGCUAGUUGGUGGGGUAAAGGCCUACCAAGGCAACGAUCUGUAGUUGGUCUGCGAGGACGACCAGCCACACUGGGACUGAGACACGGCCCAGACUCCUACGGGAGGCAGCAGUGGGGAAUUUUGGACAAUGGGGGCAACCCUGAUCCAGCCAUGCCGCGUGCGGGAAGAAGGCCUUCGGGUUGUAAACCGCUUUUGUCAGGGAAGAAACGCUCUGAGUUAAUACCUCGGGGUAAUGACGGUACCUGAAGAAUAAGCACCGGCUAACUACGUGCCAGCAGCCGCCGUAAUAC
rnacentral:rRNA from 1 species